AAUACGGAGGGUGCGAGCGUUAAUCGGAAUUACUGGGCGUAAAGCGCAUGCAGGCGGUCUGUUAAGCAAGAUGUGAAAUCCCAGAGCUUAACUCUGGAACUGCCAUUAAAACUUUUCAGCUAGAGUAUGAUAGAGGAAAGCAGAAUUUCUAGUGUAGAGGUGAAAUUCGUAGAUAUUAGAAAGAAUACCAAUUGCGAAGGCAGCUUUCUGGAUCAUUACUGACACUGAGGAACGAAAGCAUGGGUAGCGAAGAGGAUUAGAUACCCUCGUAGUCCAUGCCGUAAACGAUGUGUGUUAGACGUUGGAAAUUUAUUUUCAGUGUCGCAGGGAAACCGAUAAACACACCGCCUGGGGAGUACGACCGCAAGGUUAAAACUCAAAUGAAUUGACGGGGACCCGCACAAGUAGUGGAGCAUGUGGUUUAAUUCGAAGAUACGCGCAGAACCUUACCAACACUUGACAUGUUCGUCGCGACUCUAAGAGAUUAGAGUUUUCGGUUCGGCCGGACGAAACACAGGUGCUGCAUGGCUGUCGUCAGCUCGUGUCGUGAGAUGUUGGGUUAAGUCCCUCAACGAGCGCAACCCUCACUUUUAGUUGCCAUCAUUUAGUUGGGCACUCUGAAAGAACUGCCAGUGAUAAGCUGGAGGAAGGUGGGGAUGACGUCAAGUCCUCAUGGCCCUUACGUGUUGGGCUACACACGUGCUACAAUGGUAUCUACAACAGGAAGCAAGACUGCGAGGUCAAGCAAAUCCUUAAAAGAUACCUCAGUUCGGAUUGCACUCUGCAACUCGAGUGCAUGAAGCUGGAAUUACUAGUAAUCGUGGAUCAGCGUGCCACGGUGAAUGCGUUCCCGGGUCUUGUACACACCGCCCGUCACACCAUGGGAGUUGGUUCUACCUUAAGGCAAGGUUUAAAACCCUUGACCACGGUAUAGUCAGCGACUGG
rnacentral:rRNA from 1 species